ensembl:lncRNA
ACUGACAUUUUGAACUUUGUCUUCCUUCUUCUCCAGGAUACCGGAUCCUUUAUGAGUUCUGUUUCAGUUACAGUGUUAUUGCUGUUAAGAGACACCAUGACCAAUAUCCUCGACCUUUUUACUGUGCCUCCUGAUUUACUUCACUAAGGUCCAGGAUACAGUUUGUAUUACAAAAUUGUGCUGAUGCGGGAUUCAAUGAGAGUGUCACUAUGAAAUAUGUGAAAAGAAGUAGGAUCCUGUGUGUGCCGCGUCGUUCCUGCUGGCGAGACGUAGCGCGCGACAUCUGGUGCCGAAACCCGAGAAAGAC